AAAAAUUAAAUGAUUUAUCAUUAAAUUUAAAAAAUUUGACGGUAUUUUAUUUUAUUUAGAGGAACUUAUUUAUUAAUUGAUGAUACACGAUAGGAAAUACUUUUUUAUUAAAUUUAUAUAUUUUCGUAUAAAAAAAAAUUUAAAUUUUUUUUGAAAUUUUAAUUUAAAUUAAUUCAGAUCAAAAUAUAAUUUUUAAAAAAGAUUAAAUGAGUUACAAUAAAAAAUAAAUUUUAUGGAAAAAAUUAUUUAAUUUUUUUUUUAAAAAUGAAUUUAAAAGUAAAUUUAUUAAAUUAAUUAAAUUGAUAAAAUUUUAAAAUAUGUACAAAUUGCCCGUCAUUUUCAUUAAAAUGAAACAAGUCGUAACAAAGUAAAUUUACUGGAAAGUAAAUUUAGAAUAA
rnacentral:rRNA from 1 species